rfam:Schistosoma mansoni strain Puerto Rico chromosome 1, complete genome
UUCCAUCUGACGAGUCUCAAAUAGGACGAAUCGUGCGUACUGGAU